rnacentral:tRNA from 1 species
GUCAACGUGCCAGAGUGGUUAAUGGGCUGCCCUGCUAAGGCAGUGGCUUCGGUCGCGCAAGUUCGAAUCUUGUCGUUGACGA